rnacentral:snRNA from 1 species
GAGCCCGGGCGGAGCGGCCGUC